GUCACAGGCACAAGCAGACAGUCACACAAACAGUUACAAGCAGAAUCAGACACGCUCAGUUACAGGCAGACAGUCACACACACACACACACACACACACACACAGUUACAAGCAGACAGUCACAGAGCCAAACACACAGUUAAAGGCAGAGAGGCACACAGUCACAGGCAGACAGUCACACACACAGUCACAAGCAGACAGUCACACAUACUCCAUUACAAGCAGUCAUACACACUCCGUUACAGGCAUGCAGACACUCACGCACUAUGAUAGGCACACACACACACACUCAGUUAAAGGCAGAUAUUCACACAUACAGGCACAGGCACACACAACGGCACAGCUACAGUGACACACACAAUUGGAGUCACACACAGGCAGACAGUCACACACACACAGGCAGACAGUCUCACACACACACAUAGGCAGACAGACAGCCUCACACACAUACACACAGGCAGGCAGUCACACACAGGCAGGCAGUCACACACACACACACACACAGGCAGACAGUCACACACAGGCAGGCAGUCACACGCAAACACACACACACACACAGGCAAGCAAUCAGACAGUCACACACACACAGGCAGGCAGUCACACACACACACAGGCAGACAGACAGUCACACACACACAUAGGCAGGCAGACACAUGAACAGGCAAACAGUAACACACAGGCAGGCAGUCAACCACACACACAGGCAGACAGUCACACACACACACACACAGGCAGGCAGACACAUGAACAGGCAAACAGUAACACACAGACAGUCACACACACACACACACACACACACACACACACACACACACACACAGAAAGGCAGACACAUGAACAGGCAAACAGUAACACACACACAGACUUACC